rnacentral:rRNA from 1 species
GUCCACGCCCUAACGAUGGAUACUCGACAUACGCGAUACACUGUGUGUGUCUGAGCGAAGCAUUAAGUAUCCCACCUGGGAAGUACGACCGCAAGGUUGAACUCAAAGGAAUUGGCGGGGUCCGCACAAGCGGUGGAGCAUGUGGUUUAAUUCGAUGAUACGCGAGGAACCUUACCUGGGCUAGAAUGCUGGUGGACCGUGGGUGAAAGCUCAUUUUGUAGCAAUACACCGCCAGUAAGGUGCUGCAUGGCUGUCGU